CGUAGGAGGCAAGCGUUAUCCGGAAUGACUGGGCGUAAAGGGUGCGUAGGUGGUUCAGCAAGUUAGUAGCGUAACUCCGGAGCUCAACUUCGGCACUACUACUAAAACUGUUGGACUUGAGUGCAGGAGGGGCAACUGGAAUUCCUAGUGUAGCGGUGGAAUGCGUAGAUAUUAGGAAGAACACCGGUGGCGAAGGCGAGUUGCUGGACUGUAACUGACACUGAGGCACGAAAGCGUGGGGAGCAAA
rnacentral:rRNA from 1 species